rnacentral:rRNA from 1 species
UACAGAGGUCUCAAGCAUUGUUCGGAUUCAUUGGGCGUAAAGGGUGCGUAGGCGGCGCGGUAAGUCGGGUGUGAAAUCUCGGAGCUUAACUCCGAAACUGCAUUCGAUACUGCCGUGCUUGAGGACUGGAGAGGAGACUGGAAUUUACGGUGUAGCGGUGAAAUGCGUAGAUAUCGUAAGGAAGACCAGUGGCGAAGGCGGGUCUCUGGACAGUUCCUGACGCUGAGGCACGAAGGUCAGGGGAGCAAACAGG